GUGGCCAGUGGCUCCUCCCCUCUUAAGCUCAGGGGGAGCCUACGAUGUGCUCGGCUCCGCACUCAACCUCCUCUGCCCCCUCAACAUUAUGGGGUCCUGGCCCCCUGCCAGCAGUUACUGAGGGGGCUGAAGACACCUCAGCCCUAUAGAGUUGGUGUGUCUGUAUUACAGCAUUUUAUAUGUUAUAGGUGUCCAUGUUAGGAGGAGAAUCAAGAUGGUGGGUGGGUGAUACUUGCACAUCUCUCUAUAAGGGCACUGGGGAACAUGUGGCAAGUAUAGUGUUGUAUACGUGUAGGACACUCUUCACAUGAUCAGCUCUGCUCAGGCUGGGUUUUGGGAUUCCCCUCCAUCAACACCACCCCAGCUAUAUAAGAAGGCCAUGCCUUGCCCAGGGCAACCCAAAGCGACUGACAACCAACCAAUCAUUCUUACUGGAUUAAGAUGUUCAUUGUCUCUUUUUAAACACAGGAGGAAAGAAGGAAGGAAGGAAGGAAGGAAGGAAGGAAGGAAGGAAGGAAGGAAGAAAGAAAGAAAGAACCCUUUGAUACUCACAGUACUCUCGCUCACUGGCUACACCUGACAUUAGUCAGAGUAGAAAUUAGCAGACAUGACUCACUUAGGUCCAGUGAUUUCGGUUAGUCUGCUCUGAGUACAACUUAGUACAAUAACAACCCUGUGAUUGCAGACAUGCUGCUACGUUGAAGAAACAGGGGGGUUAUACAAAGAUCAGCUACAAAGACCAAAAGAAAAAUGAAAGCCUCAAAACCUGAAGGAAAAAUUCAGAGAGAAAUCAAUAGCCUAUUGCUCGAACCAUUUAAAAUUUAUUGGAUGCACCUAGGAAAAGUAGAAGGGGAGCCGAGUGAGAAAGUCAUCAUCCUGCAGCCUGGAGGGUAGGAAUGCAUCAGUGGCUUAACACACAUUUCCAGGCUACCACCUCACAGCUUUGUCUCAUGAACGGUUUCUUUCUUUGAGCCGAAAUAAAAGGAGGUGAAUCACUCAUUAUGGAUAACUGUCAGACAGCUCAGGAUUGGAAUCUAUGGUUUCCUUAGUAAAGGGUCG